AGUCGGCCGGAUGGCCGCUGCCUUCGGGCAGAGGAAAGUCCGGGCUCCACGGAGAUACGGCGCCGGAUAACGUCCGGCGGGGGCGACCCCAGGGAAAGCGCCACAGAAAGCAAACCGCCAACGCCUUCGGGCGCGGGCAAGGGUGAAAGGGUGCGGUAAGAGCGCACCGCGCGGGCGGCAACGUCUGCGGCAUGGCAAGCCCCGCCGGGAGCAAAACCGAAUAGGGGCGACAGGGUCUGCGCUCGCGCAGGCACAGCCCGUCUCCGGGCCGUCGCCCGGGUUGGUUGCUAGAGGCGGCCGGUAACGGCCGUCCCAGAGGAAUGGCCAUCGCGCUGCGCGCGCUCGCGCGGGCAGCCUUACAGAACCCGGCUUACAGGCCGACUG
rnacentral:RNase_P_RNA from 1 species